ACGCACGCUGGCGGCCGGCCUAACACAUGCAAGUCGAGCGAGGACUUCGGUCCUAGCGGCGGACGGGUGAGUAACGCGUGGGAACGUGCCCUUUGCUUCGGAAUAGCCCUGGGAAACUGGGAGUAAUACCGGAUGAGCCCUUUGGGGGAAAGAUUUAUCGGCGAAGGAUCGGCCCGCGUUGGAUUAGGUAGUUGGUGGGGUAAUGGCCUACCAAGCCGACGAUCCAUAGCUGGUUUGAGAGGAUGAUCAGCCACACUGGGACUGAGACACGGCCCAGACUCCUACGGGAGGCAGCAGUGGGGAAUCUUAGACAAUGGGGGAAACCCUGAUCUAGCCAUGCCGCGUGAGCGAUGAAGGCCUUAGGGUUGUAAAGCUCUUUCAGCUGGGAAGAUAAUGACGGUACCAGCAGAAGAAGCCCCGGCUAACUCCGUG
rnacentral:rRNA from 1 species